rnacentral:rRNA from 1 species
GAUGAACGCUGGCGGCGUGCCUAAUACAUGCAAGCCGAGCGAACAGAUGAGGAGCUUGCUCCUCUGACGUUAGCGGCGGACGGGUGAGUAACACGUGGAUAACCUACCUAUAAGACUGGGAUAACUUCGGGAAACCGGAGCUAAUACCGGAUAAUAUAUUGAACCGCAUGGUUCAAUAGUGAAAGACGGUUUUGCUGUCACUUAUAGAUGGAUCCGCGCCGCAUUAGCUAGUUGGUAAGGUAACGGCUUACCAAGGCAACGAUGCGUAGCCGACCUGAGAGGGUGAUCGGCCACACUGGAACUGAGACACGAUCCAGACUCCUACGGGAGGCAGCAGUAGGGAAUCUUCCGCAAUGGGCGAAAGCCUGACGGAGCAACGCCGCGUGAGUGAUGAAGGUCUUCGGAUCGUAAAACUCUGUUAUUAGGGAAGAACAAAUGUGUAAGUAACUAUGCACGUCUUGACGGUACCUAAUCAGAAAGCCACGGCUAACUACGUG